UGUGGCAAGGGGAUGGUCUGAGAUGGCUGUCCUUCAUGUGCGCACCGUCACUGGAUGGAAACUUUAUUCUUCAGGCUAGGAGCUGCAUAAGGGUGUGAGUUUGGAAGAACCAGUGGACGUUCUUCAAUUGGGAAGCAUCAGGCUGGAGAGAUGACUCAGCAGUUAAGACCACUGCCCUUGCAGAGGACCCAGAUUAGACCAGAAGGGAUCAGUUCUGAGGAAGAAAGGCAUGGAUCCCCUCCCUGCAUCAACCAAGAACACAUAUUAGCAUCACAGGGAUGGCGGCCUUCAUCAUGUGGUCAAGGUGAAGCCACUGUCAUGCUGUGCUGUAAGAUCACCAUUCCCUCUUUUCUGUAGUCCAUGCUGCAUAAUUUUGGAAGGAAUUAAUUAGUGCAGCCUAUGCUUUAGGUGAAGGUUAAGUAACAUCAAGUCCAUCCAGGGGACAAAUGUGAAUUUAUGAACUUAUGUUAAAAUCACCACUGCACUGAAUAAAAUUUUUUGAAGGGGUGCAUUAAGGCUAUGCAACUAUCUUAUGAAACUAUUUCCACCAAUUUAGCAUCCAUUGUCCUUCAGGAAUUGUGACUGUGGUGUUGAAAUACUGUUUUUCUUUGCCUUCAUUUCUUUUACAUUCACUAAUAGGACUUUUUCUGAAACAAGAAUUGUCCCCUACUCCUAUUUAUUAUUCAUUCAAUCAUUUAUUUGUAUCAAUAUGGACUAAUAUUUAUU